AUGUCGAGCAAGAGCAAGAAAGGAUCUCCUCUGAGCAAGAAAAGAUCUCUUGCUGAGUCUGGCGAAAGUUCUAAGCCAAAAAAGAGUAGGCGGGGCCCCGAUCCCUUGGACACCAUUAGGUUUCGUCCACUAAAAGAUGGACCGAUGAUUACUGCAGAUCUGGUGGAAUGUUAUACACGUCAGUUUGGUCAGGAUCUUUUCAUGAAAGUGAACAAGAAGGAACGCUAUAUUGAUGUGCGGUUUGCGGAUAAGAAGUCUGCAGACAGUGUUAAACGAAAUUUUCAAGUUACUUGGCAGAUGCCUCCUUUCGACAUGGUUUUGACAAAUACCAUUGAUGGGUCUCAGAUAAUUACCCCUGGAGAAGUUAAAAUGUACCAGCCUCCCCGUGAUCUUGAUCAUGAUAAUACACAGCCAAGUGUUCCCCUGUGUUGGAACAACCCACACCCUGUUACAUUUGAAUUUCCUGAGAAGAAGGAUGAAGAGGCUGAUGAGGCAAGUCCAGCGGCUGAUGAGUCAAGUCCAGCGGCUGAUUUGCCUCCUCGGGUGCAGAAGCCUAAAACUACUAAGCCACGUCGUCAGCCUCGGGUGAUAGCCAAGUAUCCUCCAACUGCUCAGCCACCUCCUCCAUCUUCACGCCCUCCCUUCCGUGAACCUAAGUGGCCGACUCCACCUCCACAUAUUACUGCAUGA
rnacentral:rRNA from 1 species